rnacentral:rRNA from 1 species
CCUACGGGUGGCAGCAGUGAGGAAUAUUGGUCAAUGGACGAGAGUCUGAACCAGCCAAGCAGCGUGAAGGAUGACUGUCCUAUGGGUUGUAAACUUCUUUUAUAUGGGAAUAAAGUGUUCCACGUGUGGGAUUUUGUAUGUACCUUAUGAAUAAGGAUCGGCUAACUCCGUGCCAGCAGCCGCGGUAAUACGGAGGAUCCGAGCGUUAUCCGGAUUUAUUGGGUUUAAAGGGAGCGUAGGGGGAUUGUUAAGUCAGGUGUGAAAGUCUGCGGCUCAACCGUACAAUUGCAGUUGAAACUGGCAGUCUGGAGUACAGGAGAGGUGGGCGGAAUGCGUGGUGUAGCGGUGAAAUGCUUAGAUAUCACGAAGAACUCCGAUUGCGAAGGCAGCUCACUGGACUGCAACUGACACUGAGGCUCGAAAGUGUGGGUAUCAAACAGGAUUAGAUACCCGUGUAGUC